ensembl:antisense Gm15178 predicted gene 15178
CUGGGCUUGGAGGUGGGACUUGUCUCAGUGUGUUGGCUUGGCCAUCUCCCUAGAACUUCCUGGGGCAAGAAGAAACACUGCUGAGAAUAUUUCAAGUUUAGUUCUAAAUGUAUGAAAUGAUGGUGAGAAUUUCAUUUGGUCAGCCUGACCCAGCCAGACUCAAAGACAAUUGGCCUUUCCACCAAACCCUGUUCGGAGAGACCAUUAUAGCAGUGGUUCUCAACCUGUGGGUCUCAGCUCCUUUGGGGUCUAAAUGACUCUUUUACAGGGCUCCCAUUUGACCACCAGAGAGCACAGCUAUUUACAUUAUGAUUCAUCACAGUAGCAAAUUACAGUUAUGAAGUGGCAACCGGCAGCAUCAUCACAUCAUGAGGUGUAUUAAAGGGUGGCAACAUCAGGAAGGCAGAGAAUCACUGCUCUUUAGGAUGUUCAAAGAUGAGUUUGGCCAAUGUCAUGGAUUU